UACGUAGGGGGCAAGCGUUGUCCGGAAUCAUUGGGCGUAAAGAGCGUGUAGGCGGCCCGGUAAGUCCGCUGUGAAAGUCCAGGGCUCAACCCUGGGAUGCCGGUGGAUACUGUCGGGCUCGAGUCCGGAAGAGGCGAGUGGAAUUCCUGGUGUAGCGGUGAAAUGCGCAGAUAUCAGGAGGAACACCAAUUGCGAAGGCAGCUCGCUGGGACGUUACUGACGCUGAGACGCGAAAGCGUGGGGAGCAAACAGG
rnacentral:rRNA from 1 species